rnacentral:lncRNA from 1 species
GAGGGGGGUUGUCAAACCAUCAAAAGUAAGAGUUAGGCUUUGAAUUGUUUAUUUAGGCCAGUGUAUUACAUAACUUCACAGUCUGUACUAAAUCAGCUUCAAAGGCCAAGCCAUGUUCAUGGUUGUGUAAUAUCAUUAGGGCCCAUAAUGGAUGCAGAGUGGGUGAUCAAUGGAGUGUAAACAUGAGUAAAGCUUUUGUCCUUUACAAGGUUGAAACCUUAAUCCAUGUUUUGAAAUGUUGUUGGUGAUAUCUUUUAGUAUAGAGUUUGUUAUUGCAAGGACAUAUCCUGAAUGGAUAUUUAUUUACUAACAUGGCUAUGGUUACAUUGCAGUUUUUUGGAGGGUGAGAACAUAUAGUGGCCCUCUGCAUUUUAGCAUUUCCAAUAAUUAUCUCCUUUUCUGUUUGAUCAUAUUAUGAAUUGGUUUUGGCUGGAAACUUUUUCACUUCAUACUUUGACAUGCAGCACUAUAUGUUGGGUGAUGGGAAGGGAAUUGAGAGUGUGGAAAAAAUUGAAGUUAAGAUCCCAGUAGAUUCGGCUUCUGAGAAUGUUGUAACUGAGAAGAUCGAGGAAACACCUGCUGUUACAAAAGAAGCCACAGAAGCUGCUCCGACUGCAGCUGAAGAAAUUAUUGAGGUCACCUCUGCUGCAAGUCAGGAAGCUACUCCUGCUGCCAAAGACAUCAGUGAAGCUACCCCAGAUGCUGCUGAAGAAAGCAGCAACAAUGUUGAAGAGGAAAACUCGGGUGAUCAAGAAGUUGAACACACAUCGGAAAUAAAAGUCAGUAUGAAUAAAUAAUUUAUCCUUCAAACUUCUUGACUGCAUGUGCCAGCUCCUUCGCCUAAUGUUCCUGCUGUUCUUGCUUCAUCUUUUGAUUUCCUGUUUGUUCUAUUGUGUACUGUUACUGGAUUUCAGCUUGAGACAGCACCAGCAGAUUUCCGUUUCCCGAGUACCAACCAAACAAGGCAUUGCUUUACCCGUUACAUUGAAUAUCAUCGGUAAGUCAAAGUGUUUUUGUGAUUUCCUUUCUCUUAAACUUCACUCCCCGCAUUUAUUAAUUAGACAAAUUUUCUUUGUACUUAUCUGUUCAGGUGCACUGCAGUAAAGGGGGAAGGGGCUUCUGAGUGUGAUAAGUUUGCAAAAUUUUAUCGUUCUCUUUGUCCUGCUGAAUGGGUACGUAUAUUCAUGCUUUUGCAUGUUAAUAGAACCAUACAUGCUUUCUUCUUAGCCUCUUAGGAAAUUUUAUAAUUGUAUCCAUGGCAUUAGCUAUAUUUCUUGUUCAUUUUUCUGCCCAAAGGGAAGGUAUAUUAAAUUACUAAAUGCUUGUUUGGAUACACUUCAUAUGUUUUUUAAAUAGUAAAUAGUAAUUACUACUAUAUAAAAUAUAAUAACUCUUAUAUAAAAAGUAUGAACUUAUGUCCUAUCUUUUAAAAUUCGAGGUAGUAAAAUUUUUUUAAUACUUUAAUUUUUAAACAAUUUUUAAAAGUCAUUGUCUUUUUAAGGUAUUUCUUAAAGGUUGUGAUAUUCCACAUCGGAUUGGGAAAAUUGUUUUUGUUGCUAUAUAUGUAUGAGCUCCUCUUAACUAUGUGGACACGUUUUAAAUUCAUGAGGAUCCUUUGAGCCUAAAGUGGAUGAUAUCUACAUGGUUGGGAGCGAAUUGUUACAAAUGGUUACAAAGUUGAUUCCCGACCUCGGUGUGGGAGUUUGUUUGACCCCAUAAGGGAUGCGUGUUUGUUUUGCCUUGAAAUCCUAUGGGAUACAACGUGGACUUUAUGUCUGCAUAGAAGGGUGAUUGUGAUAUUCCACAUCCGAUGAGGUAAAAAGUUCAUGACUCUACAUAUGUAAAAACUCCUUUUGACUAUGUUGACACAUUUUAAAUUGUGAGGGUCCUUUGCGCUUAAAGCAAAUAAUAUCUACACAGUUGGACAUGAAUCGUUACAAAGAGUUCUUACAUUUUAUAUAGGAGUUAAUGUCAUUUUCUGUUUUCAAAAAUGGAAAACAAGAAGCGUAUCCAAACAACAACUAAAUUACUAAAAUUUUAUAGAGUUUAGAAGGGAAUUGUUUAUUGAAUGCUCAAAAUUAACACUUGAAGGAAAUGAUAAUGUGAUUCUUCUUGCAUCCCACUAUAUUAGCUUUUUAUCAGAUACAUUGCUGAUCGAUUUAAACUGCACACUGUUGCUAAAUGCACUUUCUAAACAACCCAUUAUGGACAAGGAUGAGGGAUGGUCGAACUCUAGUUGUAGUUAUGAAAACAUCUAACUGUAACCAUAUGUUAACAUGAUCAUUGGUUCAAUUGUAUAUGCAUAUGUGAACUGAAUUUUUGAUGGAAAAUCAUGUGCCUAAUUGAUGUAUAAUUCUCAAAAUUAAGUCAUCUUUUAGGUGAUUUGCUUUCAUAACUAUUGUAGUUUGAAAUGCAUGAAGUUUUCUAAUUGCAUUUCAGUUUUAAAAAAGUAAUUCUCAAGUCACUCAUGUUUUAGUUUACAAAAUCUCAGGUGUGGAGAUUUUCUACUUCUUACCUUGGUUUGCCUCUUAGGGCACUUCAUAACUCCUCUGUUGUGUGGGAUGCACUAGAGGAGAGAGAUAAAAGGAGAUUGAUUUCUUGGAAAAAAUAGUACUUAUUCGAAGGAGGAAGAUUAGUCCUUCUGUAGAGUACUCUUGAGUCUCCCAAUCUAUUUUAUGUCUUUCUUUGCAAUCCCUGGAAAAGUGAGGAUUUGAUUAGAGAAAAUUUAAAUAGACUUUUUUAUAGGGUGAUCUUGGGAAUAAGCAUGUAAAAAACUGUUCAAGUGUGCAAUCCUAUUUUGUAGUCUUAAUCUUAACAUAAAAAAGGCUUCUCAUCAUUGCUUUGACCACUCAUUCCUUGCCAACUACCUCCAGGAAAAGACUUGCAUCAUGCCUUUUGACUCACAUAAAUCCAUGAUUUGUAGUAGCUCCAAAUUUUGAACACUAUGUGCAGUGGAGCAUUGUGGAUGUUCUAGUGGGUACCUUGGAGGUGGAGCACAUCUAAUAGCUUGUUUGGGAUAGCUUCCUAUUUUUUAUUUUAGUUGGGAGUUGAGGCUAAGGUCACAAUUUUUAAAAGGGCAAUAUUGGUAUUGUAAAAUUUUAUUAUUAAAAUAAAGCUUCUAUAAGAAGCAACAUUUUUUUGACUUUUAUAUUAAAUUGUUUUUUAAGCCAUAAGCUCUUUGAACAAAAUUAGCCAAACAAGCAUAGAAGCUUUUAUUGCACUUAAAAAAGAGCUUUUAAUUUCUCAAAAGUUAUCCUAAACAAGACCUAAUAUUCUUUACAUUAGGUAAGUUAACUAUUUUUAAAUAAAACUUUAGUAAGGACAAGCAAAUAGCUGCACUAAAGAGAGGAGGCAAUUCGCUUGUCAAAAAACAUAGAUAAACUAGAAUAUCCAAGGAAGAGAAAACAAAAUUCAAAGAGGAGAUGCUUCCAACAAAAACUAAAUUGGAGGCCACACCCUACCUAGGAAUCUUCAUGAGUUGGCUGUUUUUGGGAAGAGAUGUUGCAUAUAAGGAGGUUUACAAGUGAAACAUUUUAUUUCAAUUGAAGAGAGGUUUCAUAAAAGGCUAUCGGUGUGGAAAAGAUAAUAUAUUUUUAUGGAGGGGACACUUGCAUUGAUUAGAAGUAUCUUGUCCAAUCUACCAAUCUAUUAGAUGUCCUUGCUUGUAAUCCCUAGAAAGGCCAAGUUGAUGUUAGAGAAGAUUUAAAAGGAUUUUCUCUGUGGACAUGAGACUCUGGAGAAAAAGCCUCAUUUAGUAAGAUGGUUUGUUGUUUGCAUGGAUAUGAAGAAUGGGAGAUUGGGUUGUACAAGUCUCUUUCUUCUAAAUCGAACUCUCCUUGGUAAGUGGAGUCGGGGAUAUGUUUCUAAAGGGGAUGGUUUUUGGAAGCAAAUUAUAAAGGGAAAGUAUGGGAAGGAGGAAGUGUGUUUGAUACUCUUGCAUGGUGAGAGAUGGUUACGGUGUUGGAGUAUGAAAAGCUAUAAGGAAGGAGUCUGAUAUUUUCGUUACUAGAACCAACCUCCUUUGAAGUAUAUAAUGGUAGGAGGGUUGAGUUUUGGAAGGACAAAUGGUGUGGAAAAAAGCCCUUGUGUAUUUCCUUCCUCUCCUUGUAUGCGAUGAUUGUCUCAGGAGGUUUGGGUGGCUGAUUUAUGGGAAGAUUCAGAAAUGCGGGAUCAUUAGAAUUUGUGCUUUUGUAGGCACUACAAUGAUUGGGAGCUGGACAUUGUUGAGACUUUCUUCUCUAGAUUGCUAGUGAAGUUAGUUAGGAGGAAAGAGAAUGAUAGGAUGAUCCGAAAGGAUUCUUAAAAGGGUGUGCUUUUGGUAAAGUCUUUCUAUUUGGUCUUGGAACUCGAGAGGUCAAUCCCCUUUCAAACAGAUGUCAUUUGUAAUCUGUGAGUCCCAUCCAAAGCGAGUUUUUUUGCUUGGGAAACUAGUUUUUGUGAAAGGGGGGGGGGGGGGGGGGGGGUUGUUUGACAUCAAAUCAGCUUUAGAAAAGAUGGUGGCCGCUAGUGAAUAGAUGUUUUCUUUGUAAAUUUGAGGGGGGACCUAUUGAUCAUAUUCUACUUCACUGUAUCAAGGCAAAGAUUCCAUAACAUUUUUUGUUCUCCUUAAUCGAUGUAGUUUAGGUGAUCCCUUCUUUGUUGAAAGAAACUCUGUUAAGUUGGUAUGAUUCCUUUGUAGGGAGGAAAAGAAAGAAGGCAUGGAGAGCACUCCUCUCUGCAUUUUUUGAACAAUUUUUUUGGGUACGAAAUUGAAGAGAAUUUGAAAAUGAGGAAAAGACUACUCAAAAGUUAAAACUUUCAUUCCGUUGCAAUCCCUCAGCUUGGGUUAGCAUGUCCUUAAGAAAAGACUCGAUGCCUUUGAUUGAUUUUGUACAUUGGGUGAGGUUUUUUGGUGGCUUCUUUUUUGAGGCCAUUCUUUUAGGUGCCUCUUGUACAAGUCCUAUGUACUUUGGGCUACUUUUUUGUUAUUAUAUGUUUUUUCAGUUAGGUCAUUGAUUAUUCCAGAAAGAACUGCUGGAAGCAUUAUUCCCUCAGCUUAUUAGAUUCACCUUGUGACCUGCCAAUGAUCCUCGAUUAGGUUCUUAUAUCCCAAAUAACUGACAGAAGCAUCGUUCUUUAGCUUGUUAGACUCACCUAGUGACCUGCCAAUGAUCCUAGAGAAGCCAUUCAAGUUUGGCCUCAUCAAAAUCUUAAGAGCACCAGAAACCAUAUGGUCAGGCAGAAGUAAAAUCUUCUGAACCCGAAUGAUCAUGAAGCAAUAGUUGUUUAUCUUGUAUAACAUUGGCUCGAUGAUCUAAUUGCAUGAACAUAUUUAUCCAAAAAAUCUCAGUAUCUCACAGCAGCUGGGUACUGAAGAGAAACCAAAAAUGACACAUUUGAAAAAACUAUUGAAAGCCAAUAUUGCAUACUAUGAAGAAUUACAGUAUUAUUUUAAGCCUAAAUCAUUUGAUACUUCUACUUCUCUAUCUCCUUGUAUCCGGAACUUCAUAAUAGGGAACAGGGGAACUAUUGUCAUGUCCCUAAAAGUGAUGAUUGAUGAAAACAUUUGUGUUCUUUGUAAUAGAGUAUGGCUCGCACAUGUAAGAUAAAGGGUCAAUUCUGAUAUAUGGCCAAUCUCCUGAAAUUUGGAACUGCAUUAAUUCUACUCCAGGUGAAGCAAAAUUUGACACAAUGUUCUUAUGGAGUUCUCACAUGGGAACCCGUGAAUCAUGAUCAUGAACUAUAAAUCUUUCUUCUUUAUGUAGAUUAUAUUUUCAUGUUUGAGAUUGCAGACAAUUUCUAUAUAUUUUUUUCAUUCAACUUAGCUCUUUAAGAGUUGCCAUCUAAGCUGACUUUUUUCAACUGUUUUUUGGUUGCAGGUAGAGAGAUGGAAUGAACAAAGGGAGAAUGGCACCUUUCCAGGUCCUCUGUAGAUGGUGCCCUUUCUAAAAAAAAUCCAAAUCCUGUUUCUUUCUUGCCAUUUUAAUAUUCAAGUUGCUCCUGAUUCCGCCAGAUGAAUUUCCUGGUAUAGAAUGGAACAGGACGAGGGAAACUGCUACCUGAAUGAUUCAAGUUAAUAAAAUUUUUGGCUAGGUCUGUUGGAGCUAUUUGUAAUUUGAUGUCUCUUUCUUCCAAUCUUUGAUGCUUCCAGCUGUUUUGGAACAGCAAGAGGUCCUGAAUGUAACCGAAUAAAACUUGAGCAGUUAAAUAUGCUGAUAUAACUUGCUUUCUUGCAUAAGGCACUUUUAUUGUCUUUCAUCAGAUUGCUUCUUCCUCUUUGACAUGCAACCAAUACAGGAAACAAAGCUUUCUAAGUGUGCUAAGGCUUUAUCUAGAAUCGGCUUUUGCCCUUUAUCCUGCUGCAACUGGUUAGUCUUCUACUAAUAUAAAUAGUAAAAGAAAGGCCUGGUUUGAAAAGAGGUGAAGAAGAGGGAGACCCCAAUCCCCAGCAAGGACAGACAUCCUGUGAGAACACCUAUUACGACUAGACUUAACUUGAAGGGCCUACCUUGAUUAGCCUUCCUGGAGCAAAUCAAACUUAUUUUUUGUACUCUAGCUAUAAGGGACAAGAAAGCUACUCUUUUGAGGGGUACCCCCAAUGGAUCGAAGAUAACGGGCUAAUAACACUCAAAUGCUUGCUCUCAGUACUUAUGAUUUAUAGGUUUUAGAGUGGGCUAUUCCUUAUGUGAAAUUAUAAUAGGUAAUGUCCCUGAUAUAUAUAGGAUUAGUUGUAAUUGAUAAAUUAGGUUUUUUUAUGGGUAAAUUUAUUUAUUUUAAAUUUUUGUGGAAUUUUUAUAGAAUGUUUUAUUAAAAUGAUAAAAUUAUAUCCCUCAAUUCCAUUCACUCUUUUUUUGUACCCUUAAAAAAAUUAUUUUGGACAAAAAUGCCCUCAGGUUAAAUAAUCAAAAUAUGGGAGAAAAUGGCUUACUUUUUAAGUUAAAAAUCGGAAGUGAGAAGGAGAGAGCAGGAGAGGCAGAGCGAGAGAGCGCCCCUCUGGAGUCGACCUUUGGAGUGCGCGACGACGGAGAUUUUGCCCUUUUUACUUCUGGUAAUCUCUCUUUUUUUUUCUCAGGUUCCGAUUUCUGCUCCGUUGAUGGAGUUGUUUUCUUUCUAAAUUGGAUUUUUAUGGGAGGUCCUUUAGGGCUCGGGUUUGAAUUUUUGGCUUCUUUGGAUCUGGGUUGUGUUCUGGUGGUGUAUUUCACGAGGGUGGGGGAUUUGAGGAAGAGUGCGAACAAAAUCUGAAAUCCACCCUGGAUGGAUUGGAUUUUGUGGUUUUGAUUAUUUCUCGUUGAUUUGGUUAGAAAUUUGAAGACACAGGUUGAAUAAAACUUGGGAAUUCGGAUUUUUGGGGCUUUAAUUUCAUCUUUUAUAAUUUUGUUUUUAGGAGUGCAUUUUGAUAUUUUUGGAUCUGGCUUGUGUUUGGUUCAUGAGGUGGGGCAAAGCAGGAAGAAAAGUGAAAUAAAACCAGGGACUUUAGUGAUUUGAUUUCAUCUCCCAUUGAUUUGGUUUAGGGUUGGGGUUUGAUUUAUAAGGUAUUUGAUUUGAUUUGUGGUUAGGAAUGUAUGUUUUGAGGAUGGAUUUCUGAAUAAUGUAAGAAAAUUGAAUUAGAUUUCCUCAUUAGUUUCUGAAAAUUUAAUUUUCUUGAGACUUUUUUCUUUAAUUUGUACAAUUUGUUUAAGAAAAUUUAGUAUUGCCCUUUUCUUUCAAUGACACUUGCAUUUGAGCCAAAAUGGGUGUGAUGCAUCCGAAUCUUGAAUUUGAUUCCCUUGAUAUUAGUUUCUGAAGUUUGAUGUUCUGUUUUAUUUAAUAUGCUUUUAGUUUUCUUGGCAUUGGUUUCUGAAAUUUGAACUUCUUUAGAUGUUUUCUUUCAUUUUACUAUUUUUUUAUGAGCAAAGUUUAAAAUGUUGCUUGGGGAAUAACUUUGGCUGAAGAUCCUGGAGUGCUUUUUACUUAAGAACAUAGGAUUACACUAAUUGAUUUCAAUAUUUUGAUUUCUUUCUUAUACUUUUUUACAAUCUAGUUAGUUCUUGAAUAAUUGACAAAAUAAAAUAAAAUAAAUAAAUAAAAGAAAAAAACGAAAAAGAGGAGAGUUUGGAAUAUAGUUUUUAUUUCUUUCUAUUGAUAUUAGAUUUUAAAAUUUGGUAUCCAUUAGACAGUGUCUAAUUUGAAUUAUUUCUUUAUAAAUUGUGUUUCCAAUUUUGUUCUAGGGAAAUCAAGGUUUAUGAUUUAUAGGUUUUAGAGUUUAGAGCUUAGAGUUUAAGCCAUAAGGUUUAUAGGUUUUAGGGUUUAGAUUAUCUAUUUGUUAGAAUAUGUGUUAUUCCUUUGUAUCUUUAUGAAAAUUGAGUUGUCAUUUUGUUUUCACAAAAGUUUUGUAUAAUUGGUGCUUGUGGUUGGAUCUAAUUUGAAGUUACAAGUGUUUGUUCUUUUGAUCACAAGCACUACAAUAGUUUGUUUCUCUUUAUUUUUUUAACCUUGGUCCUUGAAUAAGGUUUUCCUUUGAAUAAGGUAUUUUGUUUACCUAUUAAAUUUUAAAAAAACAUCUUGUAAAUGAAUCUUUUUAUACCCCAUGACAUUUUAAAAUUAGUCCUAUAUAUUACAAACAUUCUUUCUCAUCUUUUUGAAUUUUAAGAAAUGGUGGUGAUUGAAAAUUUCCCUUUGUGGUGAUGGAUCUUUCCCUUGUAUGUAUAUUUGGUUUUUGUUUUUGUUUUGAUGGUUGGCUCAAGAAGAGGGUUUAUUUUAAAGGAGAAACUAUUAUCUUCAAAAUGUUAUGAUUAUAACUUCAUGUUAGGAAGAGGUAUGUAAUGCUAGUGCUAUUUAUCUUAUUGUAAAACAUUAUUAACAUGGUGUGGUCUUCUUAUGGUCAAUAAUUUCUGUUUUGAUGGUUGGGAUCAAGAAGAGAGUUUGUUUGAAGAUAAUAUUUUAUCCCUCUUCAUGAUCCCGACCAUCAAAAUAGAAAAAAGGAGGCCAAAAAGAUUGAAACUAAAAUAUGGUUGAUGUGCUUGUGACUCUAAGGAGCAAAAUUGCAUAUGCAUUUCUAGCACUUGAAUCUUGGAUUUAGGUGUAUCAAAUCAUAUAGUUUUUCAAAAUUAUUUUCCAUUUACUUCACACUUUCAAAAACAAAAAAAUAAAGAUUGUUGAUGGAUCUUUUUCCUUUAUAAUUGAUCAACGCACAAUCAAAAUCAACCCUACUUUGUCUCUAAAAUCCAUGUUGGGCGUUCCUGAUCUUUCCUAUAGCCUUUUGUCUAUAGGAAAAAUCACUAAAGAUUUGAGGAGUUCAGUUAUAUUCACUUCUUUUGAUUGCAUUUUUCACGACUUCGUAAUGAGUAUGAUUGGACAUGCGAAGGAAAAAAAUGGAUUGUAGUACCAAGAUGCUAAUUGGAAGACUGGUGUUUUAAGGUCUCCAGGCUUGGUCUCUAUCUCUUCUCCAAAACUUGUCUAAUUUGGCUUUGGCAUAGUCUUCUAGGAGAUCCUUCAUUUUGAUUAUUGAAAAAAGUGUUCCCAUCUUUGUCUGAAAACAUUAAUUGCCUUGAUUUUCAUUGGGAAGUGUGUGUUCUUGCUAAGCACCACCUUUACUCAUUUCCAGUAAAAAAUCCUAAACGUCUCUCUCCAUUUUGUUUGAUGCAUUCAGAUGUUUGAGGUUCUUCUCGUGUUACAAAUAAUUUAAAUUUUUGAUGAUAUAUUAUAUUUAUCGAUGAUUGUACUUGUUCCACUUGUGUUUAUCUCUUGAAAUCAAAAUCUGAAGUCUCCACUAUCUUUCCUAUUUCUCAUAAAUUCAUGAGUACACAAUUGGGAGUCAAAAUAUGUGCACUCAAAUCUGACAAUCGGCAAAAAUACUUUAAUAAUGACCUGAUUGCAUGACUCCACUGUUGUGACCAACCCCUCACAUUUCUCUCUUUUGUACUUGGUCGCCUCUCUGCAGUUGAAGAACUUAACAUCAAUGGCUUCAGCCGAUGUUGGACAAAAUGUCAGUCUGCAUGAGGUACUGAUUCUUUUUCCAUGAUUUCAAAUGUUUAUGCACAAUCAGUCUCUGUUUCUUUUAUUUCUUCAAGUUUGCUGGAUUUUCAUUGAGAUAUAUUGGUAAAUUGGGUCUAUUCUGUGAAAUUUGUGUUGACACGAGUUUCAAUCUUUUGUGUUCUCCUCCUUGACUUUGAUUUGAGUGGAUAUGCUGUCGAAGAGGGGAAAUAAGAUAUCAGUGAGUAAUUUGUUCUAAUGUUGAUGAUGCGGGUUGGGUGGAUUUUUAUUUAUUUGUUAUUUUUGGAGUUAUUUUGGAACAAUAAUGAAGAUCCGAAUUUACAAGUUUUGGUAUCGUUUAUUUAAAACCCUAAUGAAUACUAAUUUUUGUUAUGAAAUAUUGUAACAGUUGGACAUGGAAUAGACAUAGUUCUUGUGCUGUGAAGAAGUUGAACUUUUUUGAAUGCUUUUUUUUUUUGGAUUAGUAUGGCAUCCAACCACCAUCAUUUGGGUGACCCAUCCCGGGCUCACCCCCAACAUUUUAUUUAUCCAAAAUGACCUGAUUUUGAUACCUAUAAAACAAUGAUGAGUUUUUGUUUUCACCACCCAAGCCUAUGUUGUCUGGUAACAUUAAAAACUAUGCAGGUAGUUGCUGAAAAAUCAUGGGGGAUAAUUUUAUUUUUUAUUUUUAUAAAUUUGCUUCUUAUAAUCACCAUGGGUUCAAUUCACAAUUGUCAUUUGAGUUUGUAUGAAAGUGCUAAUAACUGCAUCAGGGCAGCCUUUCUACUUAUUUCUGGUUAAUUUGAUCCAAAGAAAUUGUUCUUUGGUCAUUGACUGUGUUUUCUGUUCUCUAACCAAACUACGAUCAAGAGACUUCUCCCUAGACUUGGACAAUGCGCAUUAAUAGUUAGAAACUGUAUUGCAUCUGAAAACAGGUCUUCCAGACAACUAGAUGGGUGAAAUAAAAAAUUAAGGGAUUGUGUCCCAUAGUGGGCUUGGUUUCUUUUUUCAAAUUUUCUGAAAUAGGAUCCCCAACAAACUGUAAACGAUGAAUUGUAUGUAAAUAACUUGCAAGAGAAUGGAAAGGAAGUGUGUGCACGACAAGGAAGGCAAGGGAGGAGGAGGGGGGGUGUUCAAACCAUCAAAAGUAAGAGUUAGGCUUUGGGUUGUUUCAUUAGGCCAGCGGAUUACAUAACUUCACAGUCUACUAAAAUCAGCUUCAAAGGCCAAGCCAUGUUCAUAGUUGUGGUGUAAUAUCAUUAGGGCCCGUAAUGGAUGCAGAGUGGGUGAUCAAUGGAGUGUAAACAUGAGUAAAGCUUUUGUCCUUUACAGGGUUGAAGCCUUAAUGCAUGUUUUGAAAUGUUGUUGGUGAUAUCUUUUAGUAUAGAGUUUGUUAUUGCAAGGACAUAUCCUGAAUGGAUAUUUCUUUACUAACAUGGUUAUGGUUACAUUGCAGUUUUUUGGAGGAUGAGAACAUAUAGUGGCCCUCUGCAUUUUAGCAUUUCCAAUAAUUAUCUCCUUUGCUGUUUGAUCAUAUUAUGAAUUGGUUUUGGCUGGAAACUUUUUCAUAACAUACUUUGACAUGCAGCACUAUAUGUUGGGCGAUGGGAAAGGAAUCGAGAGUGUGGAAAAAAGUGAAGUUAAGAUCCUAGUAGAUUCGGCUUCUGAGAAUGUUGUAACUGAGAAGACCGAGGAAACACCUGCUGUUACAAAAGAAGCCACAGAAGCUGCUCCGACUGCAGCUGAAGAAAUUAUUGAGGUCACCUCUGCUGCAAGUCAUGAAGCUACUCCUGCUGCCAAAGACAUCAGUGAAGCUACCCCAGAUGCUGCUGAAGAAAGCAGCAACAAUGUUGAAGAGGAAAACUCGGGUGAUCUAGAAGUUGAACACACAUCGGAAAUAAAA